rnacentral:rRNA from 1 species
UACGAAGGGGGCUAGCGUUGCUCGGAAUCACUGGGCGUAAAGCGCACGUAGGCGGCUUCUUAAGUCAGGGGUGAAAUCCUGGAGCUCAACUCCAGAACUGCCUUUGAUACUGGGGAGCUCGAGUCCGGGAGAGGUGAGUGGAACUGCGAGUGUAGAGGUGAAAUUCGUAGAUAUUCGCAAGAACACCAGUGGCGAAGGCGGCUCACUGGCCCGAUACUGACGCUGAGGUGCGAAAGCGUGGGGAGCAAACAGG